rnacentral:rRNA from 1 species
GUUAGGAAUAUUGGACAAUGGGCGCAAGCCUGAUCCAGCCAUGCCGCGUGAGUGAUGAAGGCCUUCGGGUUGUAAACCGCUUUUGUCAGGGAAGAAAUCCUUUGGGUUAAUACCCUGGGUGGAUGACGGUACCGUAAGAAUAAGCACCGGCUAACUUCGUGCCAGCAGCCGCGGUAAUACGAAGGGUGCAAGCGUUAAUCGGAAUUACUGGGCGUAAAGCGUGCGUAGGUGGUUGUUCAAGUCUGUCGUGAAAGCCCUGGGCUCAACCUGGGAAUGGCGAUGGAAACUGGGCGACUAGAGUGCGGUAGAGGAUGGCGGAAUUCCCGGUGUAGCGGUGAAAUGCGUAGAGAUCGGGAGGAACAUCCGUGGCGAAGGCGGCCAUCUGGACCAGCACUGACACUGAGGCACGAAAGCGUGGGGAGCAAACAGGAUUAGAUACCCGAGUAGUCC